CGUUGUUCGGAUUUACUGGGCGUAAAGGGCGCGCAGGCGGCCCUGCAAGUCGGGGGUGAAAGCCCGAGGCUCAACCUCGGAACUGCCUUCGAUACUGCGGGUCUCGAGUCCGGGAGAGGUGAGUGGAAUUCCUAGUGUAGAGGUGAAAUUCGUAGAUAUUAGGAAGAACACCAGUGGCGAAGGCGGCUCACUGGCCCGGUACUGACGCUGAGGCGCGAAAGCGUGGGGAGCAAACAGG
rnacentral:rRNA from 1 species